rnacentral:rRNA from 1 species
AUAACUUAGUGGCGGACGGGUGAGUAACGCGUGGGUAACCUGCCGUAUACAGGGGGAUAACACUUAGAAAUAGGUGCUAAUACCGCAUAAGCGCACGGUUCCGCAUGGGACAGUGUGAAAAACCAAGGUGGUAUACGAUGGACCCGCGUCUGAUUAGCCAGUUGGCAGGGUAACGGCCUACCAAAGCGACGAUCAGUAGCCGGCCUGAGAGGGCGGACGGCCACAUUGGGACUGAGACACGGCCCAAACUCCUACGGGAGGCAGCAG